CGUCCGUUUUGUACGGUACUCGUCCGUUUCGUUUCCGUUUUGUAUCCGUUACGUGUCCGUUAUACAUCCGUUAGAGGUCUGGAAGAUAAAUUCACCAACGGACUUCUACGGACGUUAACGGAUAAAACGGAUGUUGAACGGAUGAGAAACGGACUUCUACCGGACGUAUAACGGAUAAAACGGAUGAUGAACGGAUCUAAAACGGAUAAAAGCCAAUUGAAAAUUUCGGGUCAGAAAUGCCAAUUAUUGGUAUGUCAGAUUUCUUAAGGUUCAUGAAUUCUUAUUAUUCAUAAUCGAUCUUAGAGUAUAGGCACGUCUUCACAAUCAAGCAGUUCUUAUUCAGGCCAGACACUGCCUUUUGGUGGAAUCUUGAAGAACAAACCAAAACCAGUUACACAGAAACAUUUUGAAUAUUUAUGCGAUUUACAUGUAUUAUUAUUGUCGCCUUUGAUUUUUCCGUAUAUAUCUUGUUCAUCCGUUUUAUCCGGUACGCUUCCGUUAGGUGUCCGUUUUAUGCGGUACUCGUCCGUUAGAUGUACGUUCGACAUCCGUUCUGUCCGGUACGUGUCCGUUUCUCGUACGUUGCAUAUCCGUUGUGUGUCCGUUAUGCAUCCGUUACACGUCCGUUUUAUUCGGUCAGUACUUCAACGGACUCCCAACGGAUAACAAUUUUGUCAAUGGACAACUUUUAUUUUCAUCCGUUAGGCAUCCGUUCGUGCUAUCCGGUAAGGUGUGACCGAGGCUUUACAAAACAA
rnacentral:lncRNA from 1 species